UACGUAGGGCGCAAGCGUUAUCCGGAAUUAUUGGGCGUAAAGAGCUCGUAGGCGGUUUGUCGCGUCUGCCGUGAAAGUCCGGGGCUCAACUCCGGAUCUGCGGUGGGUACGGGCAGACUAGAGUGAUGUAGGGGAGACUGGAAUUCCUGGUGUAGCGGUGAAAUGCGCAGAUAUCAGGAGGAACACCGAUGGCGAAGGCAGGUCUCUGGGCAUUAACUGACGCUGAGGCGCGAAAGCUAGGGGAGCAAACAGG
rnacentral:rRNA from 1 species